rnacentral:lncRNA from 1 species
UGUGAACUGGAAAAAUAGUAAAAGCCACUCCAUUAGACUCCAGAAUACCCGCAGCACGAAGUAUACGCUGAAAUUUAUCCAGAAAACCCUGGGAAUCCUCGCCCUCAAAACCAUUGAAUGUUGGAGGCUGAAGCCAACCGAACCUCUCUAAAUGUCGCUGCUCGUCGUCCGGCAUAUUUGGGACCACAUGAGAUGGGGCCAACGCGACUGGCGCAACUGGAACAACCGGUGCAACUGGAGCAAUUGGCUGAACUGGAGCUACC